rnacentral:lncRNA from 1 species
GUGAUUUGGUAUAACCAUGAUCUUUGAUGUUUCAGGUAAAGACAGGUGAUGAAAAUUAUCUUUGUCCUGGAUGAGAAGAGGAAUUUAGAACCACAAUUAUGAUUCUGAGUAAUUCAUAUGAAUGUGGACAGGAACUGUUGAUUGAUAUUAUAGGGAUAAAACAUUGUUGGUGGACUUUUAACAUGGAGAAGAUAAUAGACUUUAUGGUCUAUUUGACUCUUCUAAUGGAUUGCUCGUUCCGCUGCAACUAUGGUUGAAAAGUUUUAUCAUCUACCAUAUGUUCUAAAUCUCUGAUUUAUUACUGAUGAAUACUAUUGAUAAUUUAUUUAUCUUUAGUCAUAAUAUUCUUUACUAAGCUAGUUGUGCUCACCCUUUUGCUUCCCAAUUCCUUUCAGGUAAUACGAGUGUAGCUGGGUCGAGCGGGGGUAACAGGGGAAUAGAACGGUGGUCAUCAUUUAGUAGUUAUAUUUGUUGAAUCAAAUAGAGUGAAGCGAACCCAACGUUGGAAGGGUGUUUUGCCACUAUCAUACAAGAUGUCUAAUGACAUACAACCUCGUAUCAUCAUAAGACAAGGAUGUACUCAUCCACUUGCUGAGUAUAUAUACGAGCACUACCUAUAUAAUCUUUGUGUUUGUUUGGAGUUUAAUUCCCAAUUAGAGACAGUGGAGAUAAUGAUAUGUCAAGAGAAGACUCACCAUUGGGAAGAAUGUGAUAGUAAUCUUCUCAUUUUUCUUUGGGGUCUAUUGGGUCAACCAAGGAUAAUUCUGUGGGUAUAUGAUAUCUAUCAUUCAUGGCCUCCCAUAUACGAAGGUUUCCUUGAGCACUUCCUAAAGAUUCUAAUUUCUAAAACAAUUUUUGACUAUACUUUUAUAUAAGGUAUCAUUAUGAGGUGCUGUCCACGGUUGGGACAUGAGUCACAAUUGGUCUAUAUUUGUAUUUAAACUCACAGUUUAUGUGUUUUCGUAUUUUGCACGACAAUUGUAUUAAUGAAGUUGUAGUUGUUUCUGUACCAUGUAUUUGGCGACUCAGAAUAGGUGGUUGGAUUGGACCUGUUUUGGGGGCGUCACAGUUGGUAUCAGAGCUUAGGGAUAUGAUCUCUAGCGGAGAUUGGGAUUAGAACUAGGAGGGGAGAGAUGAGUAAAUCCUUCGCUAGUGUGUCCUACCUAAGCUUAUUUGUUGGUAAGUUAUAAUAUCGGGAUAUUAUGUGAUAUGUUAAUUUGUUCAAUUAACCCUUAUUUUGAAGCUGUAUUCUAGAAUGAUAUCUGAAAUACAGGAGAUGAGCAAUGGAGAAAUCAUGAUGACAGGGAAGAUGGAAUCUGAAAUAAAAGUAAGGUAUUCUCAACUCUUUGAAAUACCAGGUACGUAAAUUUCGGGGACGAAAUUUCAUAAGGAGGGGAGAUUGUAAGACCCCAAAUUUUAUGAAAUAAAAGUAUUCAAUUUUUCUUAUAAUUACAAUUCAGUAAAUGGUUAAAUUGAUAAAAGUUAAAGUUAAGGGUGAUAUAUGAAUUUUUUUUUUCAAAAUAUGCAAGUGGUUAUAAAAUAUUCUUUCUGUUGGGGAAUAUUCGUUUGGUCGUGGAAUAUUCUUUCUAUUGGGGAAUAUUCGUACAACGGCGCAACCAUUUGUGGGCCCCAUAAUGGAUAACUGUCAGAUGAAGAAAACGACAAAUUUGAGUUUUUAUAAAUAACGGCGUAAUCAUUACCGUUAACACUGUUGGAAUACCCGGUGGGUAAAGUAAAGUAAUACGCGUUGUUGCAUAGUAGCACACGGUUUUACACAGUAUUGUUGAAUUAUUGAUUCUUACGUAAGAAGGCACUACUCAAUAAUUGUUACAGUAAUUACUGUUCAAUAUUUUAUUUUAUUGAUUCAAUAAUUGCUGCGUUGAUAUUUUAUAUUAUUGUUGUUUCAAUAAUUGUCACUGCACAGUAUUUCCCAUUAUCAGAUCAAUAAUUCAUAUUAUUUGAAUAAUAUUAUUAGAUAGCAUUAUUGGCAAUGUCUAGAAAGUUCUGUCUAAGGAUAGGUUUGGUCACCUAAUUGCACGCCAGUAAGGAAAAAAUUCUUAUUGGAAAGCCCCCUUUUUCCUAGGAACUGUCUGGUUGUCAAUAUUGUGAUUCUGUAAUAUUAUUUGUGAAUAAUUAAUUAUUGAUUUAUAUGAUAAGGAAAAUAUUCAUUUUAUGUGGAUAUAGAUGGAGAAAAUUUUUAAAGUGAUAAUUGUUGAAAAUUGAUAUUUUAUCUUUUCUGAUAAAAUAAUUUAUUAUUAUAUUAUUAUAAUAUAAUAAUGAUGAUAUUUUUAUAAUGAAUGUGUGAUAUAUGAGUAUAUGAGGAGGAAGAGUAUUUUUGUUGCAUUAAAUGAUUAACACAUAUUUUGUGUGUCGGUGGACCCUAUUUCUUGACUGAAAUUUGAUUAUAGGCUGUAAAAUCGUCCGUAUGUGGAUUUCGGUCAAUUUCUGUUUGGAAUUUAGAAAAACUUUCUUCUGUAAAUUUGUAGAGAAUUAAAUUUCCUAUAAUAAGUCGCGAGAUUCGAAUUUUCUGAUAAAAGAGCUAUUUAUUAUGAAUUAUUGAAGUUGCGUAGUUCCAAAAUAAUUGGUUUUUGAAAGUUUUAAUUAUUUUUAAUUAGAAAAACGUGUUUUGCAAUCCCACAUGUGUGGUAAAUGAGCUAAAUUCAGAUUCUUGGGUGGUGUGCUUGAAUGUUAAUAAAUAAAAAUAUUUUAUUAAAUUUUCUGCUUUGAUGUUCUAAGCAAUUUCCUAUAAAUAGAUGCUUAAGUUAGAAUUGAAAAUCACACCAGAAACUAAAGAUUUCUCUCUCUUUCUCUCUCUAUAUAUCGAGCGUAUUUUUGUGAGUAUUUUAGUACUUCGAGUAUUGCUAUACGGUGUAAGUUCGUUCAACGUUAUUCCAGUCAGAAAUACUAUUCUUUCUGAGGUAAGGGAUAGUAGGGGAUUUUAAGGGAUUGAAAGGGAUGUUAUUUUCUUCGUAAGUGAUAUUAUUUCUUCAAUAUCAUUAUGUUGAAAUAUUGGUUUGAACUUUUUAUCAAAUUUGGAACUUUUUCAUGUCGGGGUUACUAUUCAUGAGUUACUAUUCACGAGGGGUUACUAUUCAUGAGUUACUUUUCAUGAAUUACUAUUCACGAGUUACUAUUCAUGGGUAUUAUUCACUACAAAAUUGGUUUCUUUUUCUAACCAAAUUAUAGUUGAUUUAUGAAUAUUACUCUGGAGAUUAAAACUAUAUAUUGAUUAUAUUGAUUUUAUUAUCAUAUAUAACAUUUUUAUAACCCUGAUGUUGAAAUUCUCUUUCACUGGAGUGUAAAGAUGGGUAGAUUAUUGGUAUGAUCAUGACUAGGGUUCUCUUUGGCCAGUAGUGAAAAGUUGAAUUUUGACUGGUAUGAUCAUGACCAUUGAAUUUAUAAUUGAAUAUCUUUAGCUUAAGUGCAAAGGUGAAUUGAUCAACAUGGUUAUAAUUAUUGUUUAUAUAAAUUCUGAAAUGAUUAUAUAUUUCUUUGAGAUAUUAAUAUAUUUGGCCUGUAAUGCAAAUAUGAACUGUUGAGGAAUAUCUUUGGCCUGUAGUGCAAAGAUGAAUUGUUGAUGAAUAUCUUUGGGUCGUAGUGCAAAGAUGACCUGUUGUUGAAUAUCUUUGGCCUGUAGUGCAAAGAUGAACUGUUGUUGAAUAUCUUUGGCCUGUAGUGCAAAGAUGAACUGUUGAUGAAUAUCUUUGGCCCGUAGUGCAAAGAUGAAUUUAUUAGUAUGAUUAUGAACAUGAACUGUGAUUUGGUAUAACCAUGAUCUUUGAUGUUUCAGGUGAUGAAAAUUAUCUUUGUCCUGGAUGAGAAAAGGAAUUUAGAACAACAAUUACGAUUAUGAGUUAUACAUGUGAUUGUGGACAGGAAUUGUUGAUUGAUGUUACAGGGAUAAAACAUUGUUGGUGGACUUUUAACAUGGAGAAGAUAAUAGACUUUAUAGUCUAUUUGACUCUUCUAAUGGAUUGCUCAUUCCGCUGCAACUAUGGUUGAAAAGUUUUAUCAUCUACCAUAUGUUCUAAAUCUCUGAUUUAUUACUGAUGAAGACUAUUGAUAAUUUAUUUAUCUUUAGUCAUAAU